AUAGCUGUAAUAUCCCCCACUUUUAAAAAUGUAUUAAUAAGGAUUUAUAUGUAAAUUGGGGGACCUAUAUGUAAAUAUAGAAAUUACAAGGACUAAACUGCUAAGUUGCAAAAAGAAAAAAAAAAAGAAAAGGAAAAACCGAAAAUUCGGUAUUAUCCCACCGCCUCCCACGCAGAGAGAGCGGUGGGGCGUGAGGAGAAGAAGGAGAGUGGUUGAAGAAAAGAAGAAGAAGAGGGAAAAGAAGAGAGGAGGAAGAAGAGAGGAAGAAGAGAAGAAGAUGAAGAAGAAGAAGAAGAGGAGGUGGCUGCAGCGAGGGCUGCAGCGAGAAGCUGUGGGGCGUGGGGAGAAGAAGAGAGGAAGAAGAGGGAGAAGAGAAGAAGAAGAAGAAGAGAGGAUGAUAGCUGCGGCAAGGCUGCAGCGAGGAGGUGUGUGGGGUUGGGGAGGAAAAGGGAAGAGGAGAAGAAAAGAAGGAGAAGAAGAGGGAAAAGAGAGGGAAGAGGGAGAGGAGCGAGAGGUGGCAGCAGCUAGGGCUGCUGCCACCUCUGUUUCCUGCAGGUGGAAACAGAGGAGAGGUGGGGCGUUCGAAGAGGAGAAGAAGAAGAAGAAGGAAGAGAAGAGGAAGAGGAAGAGGAAGCAGGAGAAGAGGUUGUGAUACCUCUGUUUCCUGCAGAGGAAACAGAGGAGAGGGUGUGUGUGACGUCGGGGAGAAGAAGGGGAGGAAGAAGAAGAAGAGAAGAAGAAGAAAGGAAGGAGAGGAAGAAGAGAAGGGAAAGGAGGAGCUGCGGCUGCGGCGGUGGCAGCUGCAGCUGGAAGAGAAGGAGAGGAAGAGAUGGUGAGGAAGAAGAGAAGAAGUAGAAGCGGGUGAAGAGGCGGCACCUCUGUUUCCUGCAGGAGGAAACAGAGGAAAGGAGGUGCUGUUCGUCGGGGAGAAGAAGGGGGCUGCAGCUGCAGCGAUGGCAGCUGCAGCUGGAAGAGAAGAAGAAGAGGAAGAUGAGCAGGGGAGGAGGGAGAGGUUGCGGCCGUGGCUGCGGCCGCGACUGCAGCAGUUGCAGCGGGGAGAGAAGAAGAAGAAAGGAAGGAGAAGGAAGAGGAGAAGGGAAAGAAGUAGCUGCGGCUGCGGUUGUGGCAGCUGCAGCUGUGGCAGGGAAAGAGGAAGAGAAAAAGGAAAGGAAGAAGAAGAGAAAGGGAAGGAGAGGAAGAAGAGAGGAAGAGGAGAAGGGGCUGCGGCUGCGGCGAUGGCAGCUGCAGCUGUGGCUGGGAAAGAAGAGAAGGAAAGGAAGAAGAAGAGAAAGGGAAGGAGAGGAAGAAGAGAGGAAGAGGAGAAGGGGUGGCAGCUGCGGCAGUGGCAGCUGCAGCUGGAAGAGGAGGAGGAAAUAGAGCAGGGGAGGAAGAAGAGGCUGCGAGUGUGGUGGCUGCGGCCGUGGCUGCGACUCCGGCUGCGGCUGCGACGUUGGCUGCGGUAGCUGCGGCAGCGGUGGUGGCUGCAGUAGCUGCAGUAGCUGCUUUUGGGAAAGAGAAAGAGUAGGAACGAGAGAAGGGAAGAUGGAAAUAGUGCAGUGGAAGGGGGCUGCGGUUGUGACCGCAGUUGCGAUUGUGGCAGCGGCAGCGGCGGCGGCUGUGGCAGCUGCGUUUGGGAAAGAAAAAGAAGGAAUGAGAGUAAGAGAGAGAGCAGGUGACUGUGCCUCGAUGUUCGACACGUGAUGUAGUUACGAAGAAAGGAAGAAAACGGGAGCACAAAACGAAACAGAGAGAGGACACGGAGGAAAAGUAGAAAGAUUGGACUGGCACCUUCCUUGGAUAUUCAGAUCAAAAUAUUUGAAAGGUCAGCUUGUCACUCUUCGAGAUGUUUGAUUUGGGCCGAGGCAGUGGAUAGCUAUUCAGAAUUAUGGGCAAGUCCUGUUGGUUGUUAUGCUAUUGUUGUAUAAGCAUAUUUUGUAUGUAAUGAAUUGUUCUGAUGAUCGAAAUGGAUAUACUGUGUAAAAGUGUUAGAAGAUCUCUCUUAUUUGGAAUUUCGGAAUGUUAAGUCUAAUUUAUGACGAUAUGAACUUGUGGUGAAUAGUUGGAGUUCUGAUUGUAUAAUUUAUUUAGCUUUUGGAUUUAUAAAUGUUGUUCAUGUUUGUCAAGUUGGCUUGGGUUGCCAUAAAUGUGAAUUAUCGAGUGAUGUGAUAUAUGAUUUUAAAAUGCACAGGUUUUAUGGAUGUGAAUUUGAUUGAAUGUUUUUCAGUGUCCUCAAACGUUAGUUUGGAUCCUGGAUUGGUCUGUGAUGAAUGUUUUAAAAAUCAUGGAUAUAUUUUGAGGGGCGUGACAGAGGUGGUAUCAGAGCAUUGUUUGAGGAUUACUGAAAUAUUUGAUAUGUUGACGUGCAAAAUAUAUUGAGGUCUAAUGAACUAUAGUGAUUGGUGGAAAUUUUCUUUGUUGUAUUUUAGGAAUCUGGGAUGAUGAGGACAUUUGGUCCUCCUAUUUCAUUGUUUCUGAUUAAUUAAGGGGAAUGAAAGGAUUGAUUGGGGAUAUUGAAUCUGAGUGGCGCAGCGGAAGCAUGGUGGACCUAAUUUCAUUGGUGGUAGAAAAAUGAAUGAUGCAAACAGAGAAGAUAUUUGAUGUACAAAAUUGUUUUGAUGAUCAAAAGAUUUCUUUUGCCACCUUAUAUUGGAAGUAGAGGCUGAUUAUUAUUGGCAACAAUGAAAAGAAUUUUUGGAGAUCAGUGACAAGAAUGAUAAGGACAAGUUUACCAAUAAGAAUAUGAUUGGAAAUGAAUCAGAAAGUAAUGACAAGAGGGUCAAGACAUUUGGAUUUGAAAAGGAAAGUCACCACCAAAGACUUAAUCAUGUGUGAAUUACAAGUUAAAUUAUGAAACAAGUUUGUGUUUUCGGGUGAUUGGAGUCUAUUUUGCUUGUAGAAAGUUGGAUCAUAAAAUAAAAGUUUGCCCUUUGAACAAGAAGAAAGAGUCACUGCCUCCUAAAUCAUCAGCCCAUGUCAGAGUGUAUGCUAUCACUGAAUAUGAUUCUAAGACUUCUGAAUUAGUGGUCGAAGGUAUUAUGUAUGUUUAUGAAAGAAUGCAAAUAUUUGUUUGAACAUGGGUUCUAUCUACGAUUUGAUUCGUAACAUAUUGCCUAUCACUUGGGUAUUCAACCUAGACCACUGUAUUAUGUGAUAUAUGUAAGUACAAUCAUUGGAGAUUCUUUGAUAACGAACUUGAAUAUGGUCCUCUUGUCUGAUUUUUGUUGGAGAACUUGAACUUUUGCUGAUUUAGUUCUCCUAGAGAUUUGGAGUUAUGAUAUUAUACUUGGUAUGCAUUGGCUAUCUUCUUAUCAUACCAGUAUGGAUUGGUAUAUAACAAAUGAUCACUUUUUGCAUAUUUGAUCAGCCGAUCUUUUAUUUUGAGAGUAUUGGACAUUAUUUAUCUCCUUGCCUAAUGUAUCCCAGGAUGACUUGCCUGGAUUACCUCCAAAUGUGAUUUUGCUUUUGAUUUGGUCCUUGGGACAAUCCCUAUAUCUAAGCCUCUCUGCAGAAUGAUAUCAUGUGGAAUUAGAAAAACAACUACAAGGAUUCUUAAAUGAGGAUUUUAUUUGGCUUAAUAUUUUAUCAUGGGGUGCUAUGGUGUUAGUUAAAAAGAUGGAUGGAACAUGGAGGCUUUGUAUUGAUUAUGGAUAGUUGAAUCAGGUGAUCAUCAAAAACGAGUAUUUUCUGAAGUAACGAUUUGCUUGAUUAAUUACAGGUGCGCAAGUAUUUUUGAAAGAUUGAUUGAAUGUCGGGUUUACCAUCUAUUGAGAAUCAAGAAGGAGAAUAUUUCGGUCACUCUUGGAAAAUUGUGUAAUUGUAUUGAAUUGAUGAAAUUAUUUAAGAGUAGGAGGAGGAAAUAAAGAAAUCAUAAAGAAAUCUUUUCAUCGAUUGAGCUAUGACCAAUUUAGAGGACUAAAUUUUCUUUUAAGGGGGGGAGAGUGUAAUAUCCCCCACUUUUAAAAAUGUAUUAAUAAGGAUUUAUAUGUAAAUUGGGGGACCUAUAUGUAAAUAUAGAAAUUACAAGGACUAAACUGCUAAGUUGCAAAAAGAAAAAAAAAAAGAAAAGGAAAAACCGAAAAUUCGGUAUUAUACCACCGCCUCCCACGCACUCUGUUUCUUUCCAGAAACAGAGAGAGCGGUGGGGCGUGAGGAGAAGAAGGAGAGUGGUUGAAGAAAAGAAGAAGAAGAGGGAAAAGAAGAGAGGAGGAAGAAGAGAGGAAGAAGAGGGAGAAGAGAAGAAGAUGAAGAAGAAGAAGAAGAGGAGGUGGCUGCAGCGAGAAGCUGUGGGGCGUGGGGAGAAGAAGAGAGGAAGAAGAGGGAGAAGAGAAGAAGAAGAAGAAGAGAGGAUGAUAGCUGCGGCAAGGCUGCAGCGAGGAGGUGUGUGGGGUUGGGGAGGAAAAGGGAAGAGGAGAAGAAAAGAAGGAGAAGAAGAGGGAAAAGAGAGGGAAGAGGGAGAGGAGCGAGAGGUGGCAGCAGCUAGGGCUGCAGCACCUCUGUUUCCUGCAGGUGGAAACAGAGGAGAGGUGGGGCGUUCGAAGAGGAGAAGAAGAAGAAGAAGGAAGAGAAGAGGAAGAAGAAGAGGAAGCAGAAGAAGAGGUUGUGAUACCUCUGUUUCCUGCAGAGGAAACAGAGGAGAGGGUGUGUGUGACGUCGGGGAGAAGAAGGGGAGGAAGAAGAAGAAGAGAAGAAGAAGAAAGGAAGGAGAGGAAGAAGAGAAGGGAAAGGAGGAGCUGCGGCUGCGGCGGUGGCAGCUGCAGCUGGAAGAGAAGGAGAGGAAGAGGUGGUGAGGAAGAAGAGAAGAAGUAGAAGCGGGUGAAGAGGCGGCACCUCUGUUUCCUGCAGGAGGAAACAGAGGAAAGGAGGUGCUGUUCGUCGGGGAGAAGAAGGGGGCUGCAGCUGCGGCGAUGGCAGCUGCAGCUGGAAGAGAAGAAGAAGAGGAAGAUGAGCAGGGGAGGAGGGAGAGGUUGCGGCCGUGGCUGCGGCCGCGACUGCAGCAGUUGCAGCGGGGAGAGAAGAAGAAGAAAGGAAGGAGAAGGAAGAGGAGAAGGGAAAGAAGUAGCUGCGGCUGCGGUUGUGGCAGCUGCAGCUGUGGCAGGGAAAGAGGAAGAGAAAAAGGAAAGGAAGAAGAAGAGAAAGGGAAGGAGAGGAAGAAGAGAGGAAGAGGAGAAGGGGCUGCGGCUGCGGCGAUGGCAGCUGCAGCUGUGGCUGGGAAAGAAGAGAAGGAAAGGAAGAAGAAGAGAAAGGGAAGGAGAGGAAGAAGAGAGGAAGAGGAGAAGGGGUGGCAGCUGCGGCAGUGGCAGCUGCAGCUGGAAGAGGAGGAGGAAAUAGAGCAGGGGAGGAAGAAGAGGCUGCGAGUGUGGUGGCUGCGGCCGUGGCUGCGACUCCGGCUGUGGCUGCGACGUUGGCUGCGGUAGCUACGGCAGCGGUGGUGGCUGCAGUAGCUGCAGUAGCUGCUUUUGGGAAAGAGAAAGAGUAGGAACGAGAGAAGGGAAGAUGGAAAUAGUGCAGUGGAAGGGGGCUGCGGUUGUGACCGCAGUUGCGAUUGUGGCAGCGGCAGCGGCGGCGGCUGUGGCAGCUGCGUUUGGGAAAGAAAAAGAAGGAAUGAGAGUAAGAGAGAGAGCAGGUGACUGUGCCUCGAUGUUCGACACGUGAUGUAGUUACGAAGAAAGGAAGAAAACGGGAGCAUAAAACGAAACAGAGAGAGGACACGGAGGAAAAGUAGAAAGAUUGGACUGGCACCUUCCUUGGAUAUUCAGAUCAAAAUAUUUGAAAGGUCAGCUUGUCACUCUUCGAGAUGUUUGAUUUGGGCUGAGGCAGUGGAUAGCUAUUCAGAAUUAUGGGCAAGUCCUGUUGGUUGUUAUGCUAUUGUUGUAUAAGCAUAUUUUGUAUGUAAUGAAUUGUUCUGAUGAUCGAAAUGGAUAUACUGUGUAAAAGUGUUAGAAGAUCUCUCUUAUUUGGAAUUUCGGAAUGUUAAGUCUAAUUUAUGACGAUAUGAACUUGUGGUGAAUAGUUGGAGUUCUGAUUGUAUAAUUUAUUUAGCUUGUGGAUUUAUAAAUGUUGUUCAUGUUUGUCAA